AUGGGAGUAUAACAUGAAAUUGUUGUACUUUAAAGAAAUGGACAGUGAGAAGGAAGGAGUAAAGUUGGAUUGACUUGGUUUCAUGUUGAGCUUAUUUGAUAUGGAAGGGAGUUGAAACGAUAGAGAUUGUGUCUUGUAGUUGACUAUCUCUAAGUGAAGAGGAAGUGAAGGAAAAUGCUUUUCACUUCUUGGAUUUAAGUAAACAACUGGCUAAGAGAAUGGUUAGUAAAGCUUAGUAUGAAGUGGGUAUUGAUAUGUUCAUUCCAUUUCAUUGAAUAGGAUUUUUUGAAGUGCAAAAAGAAACAAAGGUUGAGCUUGGAGGCAAUGACGAAGAUGAGGCUGCAGAGUAAGACACUAUUCUGGAAGGAGAGACGGAUGCUUAGUAGUAGCCUUGGGUUGGGUCUCUGAAUGAAGUUUAGUUUUUGGUUGAUUUUGUGAAACUGUUUGGUCUAUGUAUUUUGAGAAGGAAAGCAUUUUGUAAACUUGGUAGAUGUUCCUACCAUGAAAGUAGUUAUGGUUUUUAAUAUGUAGCUAAUGGGAUAGUCUUAUAUUUUGACAAACAUGUUAUUUUGAGUCUUGAAGUUAUAAAAGAAAAAUGAGAAA